UACGUAGGGUCCGAGCGUUGUCCGGAAUUAUUGGGCGUAAAGAGCUCGUAGGUGGUUUGUCGCGUUGUUUCGUGAAAACUCACAGCUCAACUGUGGGCGUGCGGGCGAUACGGGCAGACUAGAGUACUGCAGGGGGAGACUGGAAUUCCUGGGUGUAGCGGUGGAAUGCGCAGAUAUCAGGAGGAACACCGGUGGCGAAGGCGGGGUCUCUGGGCAGUAACUGACGCUGGAGGAGCGAAAGCGUGGGGAGCGAACAGG
rnacentral:rRNA from 1 species